CCUACGGGUGGGCUGCAGUGAGGAAUAUUGGUCAAUGGGCGUAAGCCUGAACCAGCCCAGUCGCGUGAGGGAUGAAGGUUCUAUGGAUCGUAAACCUCUUUUAUAAGGGAAUAAAGUGUGGGACGUGUCCUAUUUUGUAUGUACCUUAUGAAUAAGGAUCGGCUAACUCCGUGCCAGCAGCCGCGGUAAUACGGAGGGUCCGAGCGUUAUCCGGAUUUAGUGGGGUUAAAGGGUGCGUAGGCGGUCUUGUAAGUCAGCUGUGAAAGUCGGUGGCUCAACCAUAGAAUUGCCGUUGAAACUGGGGGGCUUGAGUAUGUUUGAGGCAGGCGGAAUGCGUGGUGUAGCGGUGAAAUGCUUAGAUAUCACGCAGAACCCUGAUGGCGAAGGCAGCCUGCCAAGCCAUGACUGACGCUGAUGCACGAAAGCGAGGGGAGCAAACAGGAUUAGAUACCCUUGUAGUC
rnacentral:rRNA from 1 species